AGUACCGAUCUCACGGAGAAGAACCUGCGGCCACUUGAACGUACCGAGGUGCAGCACCCCCGCGUGCGCGCGGCCACGGGUGACACCGCCAGCCGGGAGAAGAGGACUAAAGGGUCCGACAGAAGAUACCAAAGAAAUGUAGGACUGCAACCCCUGGCCAGACAGACCUGCUUCUUGCAGCGUUCCAGUAUGAAGCUUCUGUAAUGUAACGCACACUGGACAAGAUUCAUUUACACAGCAGAAAAGCAAGGCAAGACACUCAUCUAUAAAACAGCACUUGAAAGUUUGAUCAGAGUACAUAAAACAUUGCAUUCUAUACUGAAAAACAGAGUUAAGUUAGGAUUUGGGUUGGGGACAGCUGCUUUAUAGGCUCUGGUGCAUGCAGCCAGAUGGAAAUAACUGUAACCAUUCACAGUAAACUGCACUUGUUCUAGUAUCAACUGAAUAGAUUAGGCUUAUAUCAGAAAGGAAGAUGCAUUUUUAUUGUCAAAACACUCACCAUUUAUGUCUUGUAGCACAGAUGAACGUAAGUUUGUGUAAAGGGCAAGUUUGCCCACAAAGGCAAAUCGAACUUACGAAACUGAAGUGGUGUAACUUCUUAUGGGGCUCUAUGGAUAAGGGUAAAUAACCUAGAACGAAGUCACUUUCUUCUGGUAUAAAGUCUUCAAUACAAAUAGUUCAUACAGGCAUAGCAAUGGCAAUGUAAUUUAAAACAAUUUCUGAAACUAGGCCAGCCCUCCUAGGCUGUUUGCUUCUAUGCAGAAAUAAGCUGCCAAUAUAUAUACAGUUUUAUACUGAUACAGCUCUGUUCACACUGUGGGGAAAGAUGGCUGAUGCUUUAAUUAUGCCAGUACAGAUAAAGUAACAAAACAUCUGAUAGAGAGCUUAGUAUCUCAGAUAUAGUCCAUUUACCUAUUGCAAGAUAGCUGCAAUAUUCCCAGCACAGGCAAAGCUUUAGAGUACUACUUCUUGCCUUAAAAAAUAAUCCCUCCUGUGUAAUUCCCAGAUCAUCAUCAACAUUUGAAGUGAUAAUGGAAUUACUAGAGACAAACCAGACUUUGAAUUUCUGCCAGAUUCUGUCAGGAGUUCAGCUGACGAGUUUUCUGCCUGCCACUCAGGUGUCUCUAUUCUUUUCAUAAUACUUUUUCUUUUAAAAAUAACUUCUUUUUUUCAGCAACAAUGCUGUGAUAAUUUUGAAUCUUAGUAAAAACACUGUAAAAACAAAGCGUGUGUUUGGGCUCGAAAAAAUACACAUAAAAGCAAUUACUCCUCCUCAGCCAGACUACAGCUUUGGAAAUUACCUCUGACUUGCCAAUGACAGUAACAGGCAAGCAGUUGUCCAGCAAAAUCCCUUUAGUUUAGCUGCACAAUAGUAAUUCCACCACUGUCUGUGCUUUAUUUGGUUGUUUGAAACCACAUCUGCAAAUCCAUGCUGCACUGUUAAAAAACCCAACCUUUUUGCUUCUAAAAGAACAAAAUUUAAUUGCUUCCUCAAGUAUUCCAUAACAUUUUAACCAGCAUGUUCCCCUUAGGACACUAUGAAUGGUAUCUCCCGGACAAGUGAGUUGAGACAUCAGAAUCACCUGAUAAAACAAGAAUGCAUUUUCCUCCUUACUUAUGACUUGUUUUACAAUAGGUUCCAAAACAAACUCAAGAUAAACGUAUAUAUGCAUGGUUGUAUGUCCCUGUCUCCCUCUCCCCUACAAAUAAGAUCGCUGCUCCCAAAAAUCUUUGGAUGAAGUGAAAUAUCUACAAUAGUAACUUACGUAUCAAGAGGCAAACUCUAUGUGCUUCAGUAAAAAUAAGAAUUGUGUUGAUUAUAACCUAGCUAGCACAUAGAAAGUACUGAUGGGUAUGUUAGUUAUUAAAAAAAAAUAACAAAAUAUUUAAUUUUUAGACCUUAAACUUGUUCUAAUUUUAGGGAUGGAUCUGUAUUGCAAACAGAGGUACUUAAAAGUUGAGGGUUUUGUUUGCUAGUUGGUCAGCCUCAGCAAGAGCAAAAAAAUUGAAAAUAAAAAUAAACACAAUCCUUGUAAUAGUAGCAUCCUGUCAUAAAUAAAUGUAGAGGGCAUACUUAUACAGAAAAUAUUGUUAAACAAACAUGACAUCUCUGUAUAGAAAGAUUACCUCAUUACAAAUAGUUAACAGAGCACUUUAAGGACCUGCCAGUAAGUGUAGUCUAUUACACAUAGGAAUUGAAAUUUCUCAAUGCUAUGAAACUCAGUAACAAUGUAACUUCAUCUAAAAUAUUUGUUACUUACAGAAAGCAUCUUGAAGGAUGCAAUACUGUAAUUUUUUACUUUCAGUUCAACUUCACUACUGAUUUUGAAACAUGCAGAAUUUUUUAGUGAUGGGCCAUUUUUACCAAUAGACUGAGGGGGAAAACUGAGGAAAAUGCUUCUUUUUCCUGAAAAUUCCAAAGCUUUUUUUCUCCAAGUGCCUCAGCCACAAUUCUUUUUCUAAUCCUCAGAGAUCCUCCUUUCUUUAUUACUAAGGUGAGAUCAAUCUUGGAUAUAGAUAUCCUGCUAAAUAAAACAUGGCUAGGAAAUUCAUGCCACACAAAACUUGCCUCUGGCCCCAUGUUGCCCCUAAAAGAUAUAAGAUUCUAUUCAUUGCCCUUUGUUGUGUGAAGGAUAGUCAGAUAAACAAGGUUGGAGGGUGGGAACAUAUACAACUGAUGUCUCCAGGAUUAAAUGAUCCAAUAGGAAGUUAGUCCACAGCAAGUUGCAACGAAAGACACUGUCUCUAAAACUAGAGAAGGAAAAAAAAGCAGUAGCAUAAACAGGUCAGACUCUAAAGAAAACACCCUCACCUGGUGUUUAGAAGCAGAAGGCUGUGCCAAGACAGAUCCUGCAUAAAGAAUCAUGGUCACCGACAACUAGAGAGUAAAUCAAUUCUAGAAGCAUCCCUGAAAACAACUGGUAGAACUUAGCAAAAAGAUAAGUCUCCAACCACGGUCUUUACUAAACCAAAGCAGAGGGCACUUCAUCCAUCUACAAACUGAAAUACUUUGCCCCUUAAAUUAAUGAGUGUCUGGAAUCCCAAAGCCAGGUCUCUGAAUGACAGCUAUAUCCACAGAGCAGCACAAAAUGAAAUUCAAGUCACUAACUAUCCCCCUCUGAUGUACUGAUUGAAGCUCUCAUUUGAUACCAAGUACAGUAUUUGUAUCCUGUAAGAUGGUAGUCCAUAACAUACACAAUUAGCCACUACACAGUAGGAUGAUGAAGUUAAUCUUAGGCACUACAUAAGUUUCAUCGUCUCUUCUUGGUGAGGAUGUCAGGAGUGAGAUAUCUUCUCUUGGAAAACCUUGAAACUCCCGUAGCCAUAUCGCAGAUAAGGCGCAAGCAUCUCCUUCCUUCAAAAAUGCAACUAACCAGCUCAAGAUGACAACGUUGAAAUGGCAGGAUCCAAGAGGACAGUAUUUAAGCUGGGUGUUGAUGAUCAAGGCAACAGAUUUCUGGGCCUGCUCUCAAAAAAAUGUCAUGAUGCUGGGAACCAAAACCUCCAUAGCGUGCUGUGGUGGUAUGCAGUCCUGCUAUGGUUGUUAAGUCAUAAGGUAAGCUAUACAUCAGCUCUCAGCCAACGAGCCCUCUCUCAGACAUUCCUGGAUUACAAGCUCCAAGAACAAGGCAAAAUAUGUCUCUCUGAGACAUGGGAGAGGAAGCUAAUUGUGUUCUAAAGAGGAAUGGAACAAAGGUAUUCCAUAACACUAAUACAUUAAUGCAUUAAGCACAAAAACUGGCAGGUGCACAGAUUAUAUACUACUCGGGUACCAUGCUUCUAAUUUACAGUGCUAAGGGCACAUACCUACCUACUGUGAUACAAACUGUCUCUUAAAAUAUGUCACUUCUCUAAGACUGAAUGUGCUGUCUCCUGAUUUAAUUUUUUUAAUUAUCAAGAACUCUUGUAACCGUUGCUUAGAUUUUAUGUAACUUUAUAAAUUCAAGAGGGGCAGAAAUUUGCCCCCAGUUGUUUAGUAUACCCAUGACAAGAAUUACAGGGAUUACUGAAUUGUCGGGAUGGGGGGUGAAGGGAGAAAAAAAAAUUACUGUAUUUUUCGUCACUCCUGAAGAAACGUGCAACUUACUACAAGCAUGUAAUAUUUCUUCCACUUACUUAAAUUGAGAGCUACUAUGAAAACACUUGCAUUUUAAUAGUUUAGUUUAACCAAUUGCUUGGCGGGAAUCGUUGCUUACUUUCUUAAACCAGAUAAUCCACUUCAGAUGCACCUGGUUCUCUCACAGUCUAUAUUGUUUAUAGAACCAAACAUAGAAUACCUUAAAUAUCUCAUCGAUGUUAAUGGUUCUCUGAAGUUAAAUAUUCUUAAAAGGUAAUACAUGCAUUUCUUUGAUUUGUUAUUUCUCUUAAAAUACUCUCCAUUUUUAUUCUUGAUCUUGAUCUCAAAAUACUGAUCUUUUACAGUAUCUUUUCUGUUUUUGGAGAAGGCGAAGAAGUCAGUCUAUAAUUGAAGCUGGGUAAGUCUUAAAAAAAUCUGCAAAGCUUUAAUGUUUUCUCUUUGAAACCCUAUCAUGCAGAGGAAAAACUUUUUGUUUUUUUUUUUUUAAACAGGAAAAAUUCUUGCUCUUUUUCUACCAAUUACAGAACUAUUUUCCACCUUUUCCUCCCACCCCCCACCAAAACAGAGAAUGAAAGAGGACCCUGGGUGAUAAACUAGGACAGAUUACUGGAGAUGGCCGUAGCAGUUCCUGUUCCUAUUGCACACCUUAUUCCUCUCCAAGUUCCCUGUCUCCACUACUGAGGCAGGAGUACCUGCUGCACCACUAUACUUUCAAAGAGCAGCCGUAAAGUAGAAUAGCACCAGUUCUGGGUGACUUUAAGGCUCGAGGUUACAAACUACAUUGAACUGUCACAACACAAACAACUAAACUACCCUUUCCUUGGAUCAGCUGGAGCAGGAGACAAACCAAGUUAAUCCUGUGAUCUGAACAGAGUCCCCAACACUUACUCCAUGCAGAAACUGUUACUUCUAAAUUAUGCAUGCAUUACCAAAAGACAUCUCUGUCUUUGUAAAAUGGAAAUUGCGGUAGCUGAACUAGCUACACACUCAUAGCUACAUGUUGGAAAACAAGAUAAAAAUGUGGCUGGGAAUAGAACUAGACAUUCAUGUUUUGUGUCGGUAAAGAAGUCCUCUUCAGAAACAGUACUGCUGAAAUGUUAGGUUACUAUAUAAUGCUCAAAUGGUAACUAACAAAUCCUCUCACAAAUCUAUUUUAAAUGUAAAUGUUAAGUGGAAAAUAUUUAUAGUUUAAGUUGCACCCUUUGCUACUUAAUUAUCAUAAUUUAUAAAGAAGAAACCUUUAAGUUCCUCCUCCAAAGAAGUUACUCAC